rnacentral:tRNA from 1 species
CUAAACCCCGACCCGUGAUUAUUAAUCCUCUCAUCUACAUGACUAACAUACAUUACCAUUCUUCAACCAAA